AACGAACGCUGGCGGCGUGGAUAAGACAUGCAAGUCGAACGGGACAACAUCUGUAGCAAUACAGGUGUUGUUUAGUGGCGAACGGGUGCGUAACACGUGGGCAAUCUGCCGAGAAGUGGGGGAGUAGCUCGCCGAAAGGACGAAUUAAUACCGCAUAUGAUCAGUGAAGACAUCUUCACGACAUCAAAGACCGGGGCGAACCU
rnacentral:rRNA from 1 species